UACGUAGGGGGCUAGCGUUGUCCGGAUUUAUUGGGCGUAAAGAGCUCGUAGGCGGUUUGUCGCGUCGAAUGUGAAAACCCGGGGCUCAACCCCGGGCCUGCAGCCGAUACGGGCAAGCUAGAAUUCGGUAGGGGAGACUGGAAUUCCUGGUGUAGCGGUGAAAUGCGCAGAUAUCAGGAGGAACACCGGUGGCGAAGGCGGGUCUCUGGGCCGAUAUUGACGCUGAGGAGCGAAAGCGUGGGGAGCAAACAGG
rnacentral:rRNA from 1 species